GGCCGCACCCCUCAGUUGUAAAAUGAGGCUAAUGAUAGUGCCUAGCUAGCAGGGGUUUUAUGAGAAUUGGAGGCGCUUACGUUGUAAAAGCACUUAAACCGGUGUCUGACAUAUAAAUUGUUCAGUAUAUUUCUCACCAUUGUAUAUCAUGCUGGUCAUCACAAAUAAGGCUCUCCUACAGCCUUGUAUAGUGGGUUGAGAGAUUACUGUCUCAGUUGCCGACUCCUGCUUUGAACCAGGAUUCUGUCAGUGUCCCCAGAGGUUGUGGAUCAAAUCAAUGUGCCUUUUAGACACAAGCCAAGAGAAGGAAAGGUGUGCUUGAAUUCAUUCACAAACAUUCAUGGUAACGUUUAACUGAAAGACUGAAAGAGAAAACUAACAUCUGUGACCAGUAUGGUUAUUCUCUGGAAUAAGGAAAAACAGAAGCUUCAAGACCCAAACAUAAAAUUGUGUAUAUGUUAAAAAAAAAAAAAAAAAAAAAAGCUGUUUGAGUAACAAAUUUGAAGAAGAAAGCACGCACUCAUUUCCCAAAACCAACCAUGCUUUACCCAGAACUACACUACACGUACAUUCUUUUAUGUGCACAUCUGGCAUUUUCAGCACACUAUGAGCAUGUGGGUGUGUUACAACUUUUCAUUUAAAAAAUGAAUUCCUUGGUCAUUGUCCACUUUUUAAAACUUUUCAUUUGCUCAUAAUUUCAGAUUUACAGAAGAGUUGCAAAGAUAGUUCCUAUAUGCCUUUCACCCAGAUUCCACUAGUGUUAGUAUUUUACAUGACCAUGGUAUAUUUAUCAAAACUAAGAAAAUAACAUGGGUACAAGUACUAUUAACCAAACUGCAGAGUUUAUUCAGACUUAAGCAGUUCUUCCACUAAUGCCCUUUUUCUGUACCAGCAUCCAAUCAAGGAUAUUGUUACCAGGGGUCCUUGCUCCCAGAGCUCCCGAGAUGGUCGUGGGCCGCUUCCAAGAUGGUGGCAAGCCUCAUGUUCUCUGACCUGGGGUUCUUGGCCUUAUGGAUUCCAAGGAAUGGAAUUUGGGCUACACGGGAAACAUGAGACAUCAAUCAACAUAUGUAAAAUGAACAUUCGUUCCGUCCAAAAAGGCGGCAAAAGCGGAACAACUGAAAGCAGGGAGGGUGCUUCCAGGUCAAAGAGAGCAUUCUGCCAGUGGACUGCAUUGUGACUAAGACUGCAACUCUUCCCUGCUGGCCUACCCUGCAGAUUUUUGGAUCAAGGAAGCCUUCAUAUUUAUGUAAACCUUCAGAGAUGUCUACAUUUUUUCCAGGAUCAGCAGAAAAUGAAGAAAUCUUAUGAUGUGACUGUGGGCUUCACCCAGGAGGAGUGGCAGCAUCUGGACCCUGCUCAGACGACCCUGUACAGGGAUGUGAUGCUAGAGAACUACAGCCACCUCGUCUCAGUGGGAUAUUGCGUCCCUAAACCAGAAGUGAUCUUCAAAUUGGAACAAGGAGAGCAGCCAUGGAUAUUAGAGGAAGAGCCCCCAGGCCAGAGAUAACCAGAUCAUCCAGAAGCAAUAAGGAAAAAGAGCAACACAAACUUUAUCUCAUGACAAUAGAGGAUAUCUGAAACCCCAAAUCAAUACAAGUGGAAAUGCUGUCAGAAUCACUGAAAAAUUAAGGAGGGCUAUAUGUACCAGCAGAUGAAAAGAAAUAAAAACAUUUCUGGUGCUUGAAGGAACUGGUAAUAUACUUGAGAGAGACAAAGUACAUACUCUGAGGUGCAAAGCUUAAAUCUCUCUUGGAAUAACAUCAGUGCUGUGCACAGGACAGCUGGAGCUCCUUUGAAUGCAGUUUGGUUCUGUGAAGCUGAUGUAGGGUUACGUAUGGAAACAGACACACAAGUCAUAUUUUUCUGUGACAAUGCAAAAAAUGAGACUUUCCAUUUUAGAAAAAAAUGUUACAGACACCUGUAUGUGGGGAAAUAAACUUACAUGCUAUCUUAGCUUGUAUUCCUAC